rnacentral:lncRNA from 1 species
GCGCCAACGGACCCUGUAGCUCCGAUACAAGGCUCAAUCUAACGUUUAGCAACCAUAAAGUCUUCCAACGUGCGAUUUAGGCUCAAAGCAACCCUUUGGAGACUAGUCGUGACCUAGAGCCGGGAUCGCGAGGAGGCCUCCUCUUCGUUCGACAAGUAGUUUUACAACAUCCGCCGAUCUUAAUAAAUCGACGGCAGCAAAGGACGCUGGAAUUCGUGCCCUCCAGGGCAACAUGCUUUCAAUGUGCGGACAGACAGGCUAAUCUGAGCCCCUGUCUACUCGUUUGACGUUAUAUACAUAUACAAUAGAAGCUUUAGCUAGUCGGCCGGCUAGAAUACGCAUGUCGGUUUGGACACGUUUUGGUCCAUGCAUGCCCACCUGUGCGGACAAACACGCGGGUUGUUCUCCCAGCCCGCAUAAUAUUUCACCCCCCUGAGUUCACAGAAUCCAUAUGGAUAGUGUCCGACAUGCUUCAUAAGAUUUUAGGAGGGAUCUGCUGAAGUCUGGGGUCAGUGAUUCCCCUUCUGACACGUUUCGUACCCCCCAUCUUGCAAGCCAUAUAACGUUUGCCCGACAACUUGCGGAGAGACCGGAGCAUCAAGUGUUUGCUCAGCACGAACCUACUGCCCGAGUUUGAUGACUGGGCUAGUUGUCGCACAAAAGUUAUUAAGGGGCCAAAACCGCAGUUUUUUCACCUAGGGUGCCUGUGACCCCACCCCCAACCCCGCACCUCCGCCUUGUAGAUGAGGUACCUCAGCCCCUCGUCCGCCGUGACGCGGCUGAAGGCGCUGGUCAUGAGCG